rnacentral:rRNA from 1 species
GACGAACGCUGGCGGCGUGCCUAACACAUGCAAGUCGAGCGAAGUGAGUACUACGGUACGAACUUAGCGGCGGACGGGUGAGUAACGCGUGGACAAUCUACCCUGUAGACUGGGAUAACACCUCGAAAGGGGUGCUAAUACCGGAUAAUGUCGAGAAGCGGCAUCGCUUUUCGAAGAAAGGAGAGAAUCCGCUAUAGGAGGAGUCCGCGUCCCAUUAGCUAGUUGGUGAGGGUAAUGGCCCACCAAGGCGACGAUGGGUAGCCGGCCUGAGAGGGUGAACGGCCACACUGGAACUGAGACACGGUCCAGACUCCUACGGGAGGCAGCAGUGGGGAAUAUUGUGCAAAGGGGGAAACCCUGACACAGCAACGCCGCGUGAGCGAAGAAGGCCUUCGGGUUGUAAAGCUCAAUAGUAUGGGAAGAUAAUGACGGUACCAUACGAAAGCCCCGGCUAACUACGUGCCAGCCGCCGCCGUAAUAC